GUAAACUCUCACCAAAUAAGAUUUCAGUUACAAAGGUCACUCAGCAAUUUAAACUUAGGAACUUUGGACUUAGUGCGCAGGCUUAGUAGGCUAAUCAAUACAAACUUCUCUGCCCUGAGCUGCAUAAAGCUGGAGUUAGUUACACAUCUGAUUCAUGAUACGAAGGGGAGUCACAUACAAGGGGGAACACAUGGUAUGUGGGUUGGCUCAACAAGUCGUGCCUGAUAAACAUGGUGGCCUUUUAUGAUGGAGCUAUAGUGUCAGUACAUAUUGGAAAAGCAACUGAUAUCACCUACUUGGACUUGAGCAAAGCACUUGACGCUCUCUCGCAUGACAUUCUGGUCACAAAAUUGAAGAAAAAUGGAUUUGUUGGAUGGACCAAUCACUGAAUAAGGAAUUGACUGGAUGGUCACACUCAGAGACGUGUGGUCAGUGACUUUACAUCCAAGUAGAAACCAGUGAUGAAUGGUAUUCCUUGGGGACUCCUGCUGGGACUAGUGUUUUUUAACAUCUUUGCUGGUGAUAUGGACAGUGGGAUCAAGUACACUCUCAGUAAGUCUGCAGAUGACACCAAACUGAGUGGUGCAGUUGACACACUAGAGGGAAGGGAUGACAUCCAGAGGGACCUGGACAGGCUUGAGAGGUGGGCCCACGUCAACUGUGUUAACUUCAACAAUGCCAAAUAGAAGGUACUGCUCCUGGGUUGGGGCAAUCCUAAGCACAAAUAUAGGUUGAGUGGAGAAUGGGUUGAGAGUAGCCCUGAGCAGAAGGAUUUUGGUAAGGGUGUUGGUAAAUGAGAGAAUCAGUUUAAGUCAGCAAUGUGCACUUGCAGCCCAGAAGGCCAACCAUAUGCUGGUUUGCAUCAAAAGAAGUAUGACCAGCAGGCUGAAGGAGGUUGCUCUGCCCAUCUACUCUGCUCUCAUGAGACCCCACCUGGAGUACUGCAUCCAGUACUGAGUCCUCCAAAACAAGAAGGACAUUGAGCUAUUUGAGUAGGUCCAGAGGAGGGCCAUGAAGAUGAUCAGAGGUCUGAAGUACCUCUCUUAUGGAGACAGGCUGACAGAAGUGGGGCUCUUCUCAGCCUGGAGAAGAGAAGACUCUAGGGGGAAUCUUGUAGAAGCCUUCCAGAACCGGAAGGGUGCAUAAGGGAAAAUAAGGGAGGGACUUUUUGUAAGGGCAUGUAGUUACAGGACAAGGGGAAAUGGCUUUUAACUAGAAGAGAGUGAACAUUAGGAAUAAAUUCAUUACAGUGAAGGUGAUGAGACACUGGAACAGGCUACUGAGAGAAGUUGUGAAUAUCACCACCCUGAAGAUGUUCAGUGCCAGGCUGGAUGGAGCUUUGAACAUCCUGGUCUAGUGGUAUAUGUCCCUGCCUGUAGCAGAGGAGUUGGAACUAGAUCUUAAAAGUCCUAGCUUUAAACUAGGUUUGAAGAUCAAAGGAGAUUAAACCAGAAUCACUAGAGAUGAGACUAGGUGCAGCAUUCCAGGGUCAGGAAGUAGACUGUUAGACAAGAUGAAGUGUAUCUAUACUAAUGAACACAGCAUGGGCAACAAACAGAAGAAACUAGAAGUCACUGUGUGACAGGAAAACUAUGACUUAGUCACUGUCAUCUAAACGUGGUGGGAACAUCCUCAUGACUUUGCUGCAAUGGAGCAAAGCUAUUUAGAUAGGAUAGUCAAGGCAAGAGGGGUAAUGGGAUGGCACUCUAGAAUUUUGAUGUUGUGGAGCCCAAUAUUGGGAAUGAUAAUGUCAAGCGCUCAUAGGAUAAGGGAAAGGCCAAUUAUGCUGAUAUCCUUGUGAGAGUCUGAUACAAACCACAUAAGCAGGAUGAAGAGAUAGAUGGAAUGUUCUUUAAACGUCUGGCAUCACUCAUGCAAUUCGUAGCCCUUGAUCUCAUAGGGGACUUCAACUUACCUGAUGUCUGCUGGAAUUGCAGUAUAGCAGAGAAGAAGCAGUCUAGGAGGUCCCUGGAGUGUGUGGAAGACAACUUCCUGACACAGCUGUUAGGACAGCAUACAAGGGAAAGCACUCCUUAAGAGUUGCUGUUUACAGACAGAGAAGGAAUGUUGGAAAAUGUGGCUGAAAUCUGUCUUGGGUACAGCAACCACAAAAUGGUAGAGUUCUCUAUCUCUGGUGAAAUCAGGAGGGGGGGUCAGCAAAACUGCUACCCUGAACUUCCAGAGGUUAAACUCUGAACUGUUUAAAUCGUUGGUUGGCAGAAUUUCUUGGGAGUCAGUUCUGAUUGCAAAAGGGCCCAGGGAGUCUAGACUUUCCUCAAGAAAGAAACUUCAAAGACACAAAAACAGGCUGUCCCACUGUGCUAUAUGAUGAUCUAGCAGGGAAGAGAACCAGCCUGACUGAACAGGAAGUUUUUGCUGAGACACUCACAAAAAAGGAGAAUUGAUGAUAUUUGCAAGAAGAGUCAGGCAACUCAAGAAGAGUAUAAGAAUGCCCUCAAGGCAUGCAAAGAGAAAAUCAGAAAAGCAAAAGCCCAGCAAGAAUCUAAUCUGGCCUCCAUUGUUAAUAGUAAAAAUAUGCUUUUACAAAUAUAUUAACAGCAAGAGGAGGGCCAAGGAGAAUCUGCAUCCUUUAACAGAUGCAGCAGGGAACAUUAUCUCCAAGGAUGAUGGAAAAGAUGAGGUUCUCAAUGACUUCUUUACUUGUGUCUUUUAUAGUCAGGCCCGUUAGCUUCAGGGUACUCAGCUCCCUGGCAGACAGGAAUGAGGAGGAA
ensembl:lncRNA